UACGUAGGAUGCAAGCGUUGUCCGGAAUUAUUGGGCGUAAAGAGCGAGCAGGCGGUUACUCAAGUCAGAUGUAAAAUAUCCCGGCUUAACCGGGAGGGGCCAUUUGAAACUGGGUAACUAGAGUGAAGCAGAGGAUAGCGGAAUUCCCGGUGUAGUGGUGAAAUGCGCAGAUAUCAGGAGGAACACCGGUGGCGAAGGCGGGUCUCUGGGCCGAUACUGACGCUGAGGAGCGAAAGCGUGGGGAGCGAACAGG
rnacentral:rRNA from 1 species